rnacentral:rRNA from 1 species
AGCAGCCGCGGUAAUUCCAGCUCCAAUAGCGUAUAUUAAAGUUGUUGCAGUUAAAAAGCUCGUAGUUGAAUUUCAGGCCUGGCUGGACGGUCCGCCCUUCGGGUGAGUACUGUCUGUGGUCGGGUCCUACCUUCUGGCGAAGCGUCAUGGCCUUAACCGGCCGUGGCGGGGAACCAGGACUUUUACUGUGAAAAAAUUAGAGUGUUCAAAGCAGGCAAUCGCUUGGAUACAUUAGCAUGGAAUAAUGGAAUAGGACAAUGGUUCUAUUUGUUGGUUUCUAGGACCGUUGUAAUGAUUAAUAGGGAUAGUUGGGGGCAUUAGUAUUCAAUUGUCAGAGGUGAAAUUCUUGGAUUUAUUGAAGACUAACUACUGCGAAAGCAUUUGCCAAGGAUGUUUUCAUUAAUCAAGAACGAAAGUUAGGGGAUCGAAGACGAUCAGAUACCGUCGUAGUCUUAACCAUAAACUAUGCCGACUAGGAAUCGGGCGAUGUUGACAAAUGACGCGCUCGGCACCUCAUGGG